ACCCUACGAGGUACGAAAAUUCGAGUUUUAUUUAGAACCAACACAUAAUUUAAGGGAGUUUGGUACUCUAUGCAUGGUGUGUAUGCUCACCACGAGUGAGAAACCCGGAAGUGCUUAGGAAAACACCCACCUGUGAAAGCAGGGCUCUUAAAUUCGCUCAAAUUUACGGCUUUUGUGGGGG
rnacentral:other from 1 species